rnacentral:rRNA from 1 species
UACGUAGGGUGCAAGCGUUGUCCGGAAUUAUUGGGCGUAAAGAGCUUGUAGGCGGUUUGUCGCGUCUGCUGUGAAAUUUCGGGGCUCAACCCCGAACUUGCAGUGGGUACGGGCAGACUAGAGUGUGGUAGGGGAGACUGGAAUUCCUGGUGUAGCGGUGAAAUGCGCAGAUAUCAGGAGGAACACCGAUGGCGAAGGCAGGUCUCUGGGCCAUAACUGACGCUGAGGCGCGAAAGCUAGGGGAGCGAACAGG